AGUGAACGCUGGCGGUAGGCCUAACACAUGCAAGUCGAACGGCAGCACAGUAAGAGCUUGCUCUUCCGGGUGGCGAGUGGCGGACGGGUGAGGAAUACAUCGGAAUCUACUUUUUCGUGGGGGAUAACGUAGGGAAACUUACGCUAAUACCGCAUACGACCUACGGGUGAAAGCAGGGGAUCUUCGGACCUUGCGCGAUUGAAUGAGCCGAUGUCGGAUUAGCUAGUUGGCGGGGUAAAGGCCCACUAAGGCGACGAUCCGUAGCUGGUCUGAGAGGAUGAUCAGCCACACGGGAACUGGGACACGGUGCAGACUCCUACGGGAGGCAGCAGUGGGGAAUAUUCGACAGUGGGCGCAAGCCUGAUCCAGCCAAACCGCGUAGGUGAAAAAGGCCUUCGGGUUGUAAAGCCAUUUUGUUGGGAGAGAAAAGCAGCAGGUUAAUACCCCGCUGUUCUGGCGGUACCCAAAGAAUAAGCACCGGCUAACUUCGUG
rnacentral:rRNA from 1 species